AUGGCCAUGCCUAGUGCCAAGGCUACCGCUGCCGCCAACAGCGAGGUAUGGGUGGAGAAGGUCGACAGGAUCCGGUUCGUCUACAACGCCAUCACCAAGCCCUCGGUGUACGUGAACCCAAGGGCGGCGACGAUGACGACGAGGCCGGUAGCCGAUUUCGCCAUCUCCAGGGAGAAGAUCGACGACUACAUCGCGAGGAAGAAGAAGCAGUUUGCUCAGGAAGCCUAUAGCCCACGCCGGCGGGGAUCCAUCUUCACCUCAGGCGCUCCUCUGUCUCAAUCCCCCGGUCCUGCGCGGCUCACAACCUUUGGCAACACCGGCGGUCUGAGUCACCUUCGCCGCUUACCAGGAUUCCCCCUUGCCGCGAAGGUGCCGCCGGCGUCAUUGAGGAGGUUGAUUUCGGUCGGUCCCAACGGAAUCAGACCGGCCGCUGGGCUCUCACCUGGAAGGAUACUCUGCUCGGCUACUCAAUCAUGGAGUGGACGCCGCGUUGGGCGGUCUCGAGCAGGUGGACGCUUUUCUUUUCGGGCUCGAAGGGCUUCGCUGCUGGCGCGUCGUGCAGGGCUUCAAUUCGCAGCCACGACUUCCAGGAGCGUUGAAUGGGCCUCCUCCUACAGGUGCUGCCCCGGGUUCUCCUCUCCGUUGUAUCACCCUUAUGACCAGGCGAUGCCUGCAUCCACGAGCCGGCAUCCAUGUUGCCCGUGUGAUGCCUGCAUCCUCCAGUUGGUGGCAGGUUCAGAACAUAGUCUAUUCUGA
rnacentral:rRNA from 1 species